rnacentral:lncRNA from 1 species
AGAUUCUCGCUAACAUGUCACAAAGUACAAAGAGGAUGCAUGAAAGAAGAUGAACAUAAAGCACACUUGAUACAAAACAAUAUUCAAAAGGGGGAGAGGGGUAUAUAGGUACUUAGAUGCUAGAAACUAGGUACAACACUAGCUUGGACAACUCGACUUAGUCACAAGUGUAUGAGCUACUAGAAGUUCUGCAAAUAGAGUCUGAAAUAAAUAUUACUGUUUCGAAUGAAAUGAACAGUAAAUAAGGAAAGAGGAAGGGGACUUCAAGGUCUGCGCCAGCAGAUCUACCUCGAGUCAACAAAUAUGCCAAUCCGAGCUGAUGCACCUCACGUACAGUUGAGACCAGUACCAAAAUCUGCACAGGAAGUGUAGAGUGUAGUACGAGUACAACCAAUCCAAUGUACUACGUAAGUGUCGAGCCUAACUUCGACGAGGUAGUGACUAGACUAUGACAGAAAACUCACGAAAAUUAACAUGCACAAACGAAGAUAUACGUGCAACAUAACAGCAAAUAGAGAUUACAUACGUACGAUUCGGAGGGGAAAUGCAAAAGGGGGUACGAGGUAUGGUAACUAUAACAGGAAUGACAACAUGAGACAGUCAAAUAAACCAUCAACUAAUGAAAACGGAUAAACAUAAUGAAUAAAGAUAGCACGACAUCACCCAUCAUGCUAUUACUCAUAGCCCUACCAUGAAAUAAUAAUAAUGGCAUGGCAUCACCCUUCGUGCUUUUAAUAUCAAUCUCUCUAUGAAACGAUAAAUACGGUACGUCAUUACCCUUUAUGCUUUAACUCUCUUCUUCACUAUGUAUUAAUCAAUAAAUGAAGAAAUAAUCGGCACGGCAUCACCCUUCGUGCUUUAACACUUUCCCUUACCAUGUAGUAAUGAAUAUAAGAAUAAGCAAGAAUAAAUCUUACGUCAAAAUGGUUCUGAGAUACAAAUCCUCAAUUUCAAAGAAAUACUCCACCAUCACCAUUUAAUUCAUCAAUGUGGAAAGAACGAUCAAAUAAAGAACAAACUAAUCUAGGCAUGGAUAUCGUAAGUAAAGAAGGCAAUAAAUUACAAGAAACAAGUCACAACCGCAUGCUUUAACCCAACAACAACGCAUAAGUACUCCCCACCUCACAUAUACGUUGUACCCAAAUAUUUAAACACGUAGCAAAUAGGCAAACAAGUCUUAAUCUCUCAAGUCAAGGUUCACCAAGAGACUUACUUCGCUCCGCAAUCGACUCAAAGUUCAACCAUGGCCUUGCCUUUCGAACAAGCCUCCGAACCAACCAAAUCUAGUAAAUUAUUAACCAAAUGAUUCAAAAUACGCCUUAAGAACUACCCACGAAUGAAAGAGGUUCAAUCUAGAUCAAAAAGUCAACCUCGGACCCGCUUGGUCAAAAUCCAAAAUUCGAACCAAAAUCCGAUUACCCAUUCACUCCCGAGUCCGGUUAUGUAAUUUGUUUCUAAAUCCGACCUCAAUUCUCGAUCUAAAUUCUAAUUUUACAAAAAUUCCUAAUUCUAUCCAAAUCCCCAAUUUCUACCAUAAAAAUCCUAGAUUUUAGGUUUGAAUCUUAUGAAAUGUAAUAGGUAAUUAAAAGGAAGUAGGUUAGAGUUACUUACCAAUGAGUUAAGGAAGAAAAACUCUUGGAAAAAUCGCCUCUAAGGUUUUUAGGGUUGAGAAUUUGAAAUAAUGAGCUAAAAUCCCAUUUUUUCCUUCUUAAGUCCAGGUGCAGAUAUCACAAAUGCGACAUGAUUGCGAACCCCGCAAAUAUAAGAAAGCCGUCGCAAAUGCAAAGAUUUCCAUCUCUGCUGCCAUCGCAACCAGCACUCAUACCUUAACUUGGCCGAGCGAAACUUCUAAUUUAUUAUUUCUAUUCUACAAUACAAGUAAAACCAAUCUAAAAUUCAACAAAAAAUCUUGAUUUUUUCUGAAAAAAUCUUAGCAUAAUUUCAGCUUGUUAAAUAAUAUAUCUAAGAUCAACUAAAUGAAACCAUGAUAAUAUCUGGACAUUAAAUUCUUGACUUCUAUGUCAAUGAAGCCUCUUAGAACUACUGAAUAAUAAAAGACUGAAUUUUAAAAUCAAUGAAAUUCAUAAACUAGAAUGGAGCUCAUCAAAUCUGCUCCAUGGGAGGAGAAUAUCCUAGCUCGUAAAUUGACAUAGGUUAAUGUAGGUUCCUACAAAUAGAAUGUCAGUACAAUAUAAUUGUUCUUAGUAAGUAAAAUAAUCCUCUCACUAAAAUUGAAACGAGACUCUGAAUGAAAUACGUUGGCAGGAUAUGAUAAAAUUCUAAAAAGUUUCUUUAUGAGCAGUUAAAACAAACAACUCAUGUUUGUGUUGUAAAAAUUCUUCUUUCUUUCUUUUAUUUUCUUGUCUGGAACAACUCAAACAUAUAAACAUUUAAACUUUUUCUCCAAAAAAUACUUGUAAGUUCCCAAAACAUGUUCUUUAUUUUUUUUUCUUUUUAGGGAGUACCAUUGAUUUUGACAUUCUUUCUUAUUUUUUUCUAAGAAUAUCACCAUGUGAUCAAUAAUGGCGGAUUAUCCCAGCCCAAUCGCCUGGAUCCCAUUCCUAGUGGUGCUUCAUAGUUUAAGGUUCUAGCAUGCUUAUAUUCUUGUGCUUAUUACCAAUGCAUUUCUAUCAUAGGGCCCGGACCAACGAUACACUAAUCCUACUGCAUCACGAGUAGUUUCAGGAUUACAUAAGCCACUAGAGACUAUACGCCCUUCUUAGAAAUCUAAGAAAACUUCCAAAAUAUUUUUAUGAGCAAUCUUUUAAUCAUAAAAUCUAAAAUAAUAUUAUUUCUUCAAAAUGCUCAUCAAAACAGUUUUAUCUUAUGAAAGAAGCUUCAAUAGUUUAUAGUAUUAAGAAAAUAUAUGCAAGUCAUAAAAUGCAUGCGACAUAAUUUAUGAAAUAAUGAACCUUUCUUGUAAGAUUAAACAGGAUAAUCCUUUAAAUACUUUUCUAUAAUUCUAAUGAAUAAUGUGAGUCCACUCUCUCUAAUCAAAAAUGCACCUUGACAUUCUAUAUGAUUUAAUAAUAAUAUGUGGUAUGAUAUUUGUGAGAAGACAACUUUAAUAAAAGUAUUAUCUCAACUCACCUUGAUUUUUCCCUUUCGAAUACUUUAGUCACUCAAUUUCAAGGGAUUCAAUUCACCAAACCAAUCUCUACAUUUUGUAAUUCAAGAAUGAAUUCUAAAAGUUUCAAUUUCAAGCUUUGGAAGCCCUAGGUUUGCUUCUUUCUCAAUUUUCCAAAGUUUGUACUUAAUCUAUAUUUUUGUAGUAUAUUAUAGGAAUGGAUAUCAACAAAAAUCUUCCCUAAUAAUCAUAGUUGAAAGCAGAUUGCGGAGUUUAACUUGAAUCGUGAAAUCCUAAGUUGGAGGAAAACCUUGUUCGCGAAUCCUUGUUGAAAAUCUAGUGAUUCCAAGAUGUAAUCUUGUUAGAAUCGAUGUUUGGAAGUAGUAAUUUAACUUUAAUUGCAUUAAAAACUCACCUUAUGUAGUAUAGGAACUCUUGGAUGACUUGGGAUUGAGAGAGAAGGUCUAAU